AAAGAGACAGCAGUGCAGGUUUGAUGGGUGGAACAGAAAGAAGGGAGGGAAAGAGGAAAAAGUUACUUUAGCAGCAAAAUGUCCAAGGUUCUAACCACAAUCAAAUUAACGGAUAUCUGGCGGUAAAAAACAAGGUUGAAGGGAUGCUGCCCUGAUCCAUUCGUCUUUGCUAAAAUAAUUCAGCUGUAAAAACUCCAAAAUGUGACAUAUUGAAGGACAGUUUUGUAACAUAAGCAACUUCCUAGCUUGUCCUCCAUGUUAUUGACCAUCGUUAUCACUUAAAUAUAUGUACAAGAAUUAAGCUGCUUUUCUCCUCGGCCACAUGCUCCUGGUCACUACUGAAGUCAGUGCCGUGGGCGUGCUAAUCCCAUAACAGCUUCCAAGUGUUUCUGCUCCACUACUGCCACAACAGCCCACGCCCUGCUCUCCCCACUGCUGUUGGCGUGCACUGCAAGGGAGUUCCUAAUGGUCAUUCUGCUUGUCUCUCAUCCAGGCUUGGAUUUGCUCUUUAAGUUCUGGCACUGAUAGGGUAAAAAAAAAGAAAAAAGAAUGAUUAAAUUACUUAGUAAUACAACUACAAGAGAGCUCCUCAUGAUCAAUGGAGAUUUCUUCUCUAGUGACCUGAUCAGGAUUAUCUACUACUGUUGUCUUCUCCCUCAAUGCAGUUUCUGCACAGCUUUGGACAGUCACUAUUUAGGAAACUCCACUUGCCUCUGAAUUCAUCCGGAGCAUCGCUGUAAUCAAUCUCUGCACGGGCGUUCUUGGCAACAAUUUCCUCCACUUUCUCUGCCAGCAGUUUGAAUUUCUCUAUUGCUAUGGUGGACUUGAUUCCAGCCUUUCUCAUCUUGGAGAUAACCUCCUCAAAGAGCUCUUUACUGUAGGACCUCUAAAAGCAAAGCACAAAAAGACAACUUUGCUGAGUUGUAGGAUCCUCACCUGCCAUAAAAAUGCUGAAGAUAUUUUAAUGCACUUUUAAAACUGCAGAAGAAGGGAUCGAUGAAACCUCAAGCUUACAUCAGAUUCAAAAGCAGUAUGUGGUAACAUUUCAUCUAGCACCAAAAGGUCAACUUUGGGGUACACUUAUGAUUCUUUUUUUUACUAGUCAUCACCACUGUAGGACUGUUCAGGACCAAAAAAAGGCAACAUCACCUAAAGAAAAUGAGGAAGUCACUCAGAGAGGCUGACUAUGAUUAUCAGGAUUGUUCCUCACACAAAACAUCUGUCUUGCCACUCUCCUGUCUGUAUUAUUGUUCUCACAAGUCUUGGCUGCAAACACAGCACAAAAUGAAUUAAUUUUUUUAAUUUCUUAAUUUCUCUGUUAAUGUGCAAGGCAGCACUGGGAAAGAAGUGAUUCUUUCUCCUAAUCCAAAGAAGAACUAACAGAAAAGCCACCCCAUGAUGUUGCAAAAAUAGUAAGGCAGCUCAGAGGGAGCAAAUGCUGGAGAUUUGCCAACCGGUGCAGUAGGAAUAUCCAGAGAGACCAAAUGCAUAUCCUGUAGUUCCCACAAAGCAAGCAUUGCUCUCAUGUGAAAAAUCGAGUUACGGAAGGACUUUUGUAGCUGCUUCUGUUCUACAGACACUGUUUCCUUUUAACUUCACAGUGCCGUGUUUUGAUGUAAACCUUUUAAUAAAAAAACACUAUUUACACUGCA